CGAUGUCACUGAGCAGAAGAAGCAAACUACAAGAGGACUUGGUCGUGCGUCAGCGUUCUUUGUUUGUGAAGUAUAGGGUCAAAGUUCAUGCAGUAUUGUUAUGUACAGAGGGAUCCAACUCAGACCUACAUGAUGAUGUCAUGAUGAUGUCACUGAGCAGAAGAAGCAAGGGCUUGGUCGCGCGUCAGCCACCAAGACGAAGGAGGGAUCCAACUCAGACCUACAUGAUGAUGUCACUGAGCAGAAGAAGUGAAGAAGUAAAGUACAAGAGGACUUGGUCACGCGUCAGCCACCAAGACGAAGGAGGGAUCCAACUCAGACCUACAUGAUGAUGUCACUGAGCAGAAGAUGUCACUGAGCAGAAGAAGCAAAGUACAAGAGGACUUGGUCACACAUGUUCUUUGUUUGUGAAAGGGUCUACAUGAUGAUGUCACUGAGCAGAAGAAGCAAAGUACAAGAGGACUUGGUCGUGCCAAGACGAAGAAGGGAUCCAACUCAGACCUACAUGAUGAUGUCACUGAGCAGAAGAAGCAAAGUACAAGAGGACUUGAUCACGCGUCAGCCACCAAGACGAAGGAGGGAUCCAACUCAGAUCUACAUGAUGAUGUCACUGAGCAGAAGAAGCAAAGUACAAGAGGACUUGGUCGUGCGUCAGCCACCAAGACGAAGAAGGGAUCCAACUCAGACCUACAUGAUGAUGUCACUGAGCAGAAGAAGUGAAGUACAAGAGGACUUGGUCGUGCGUCAGCCACCAAAACUAAGAACGUACAUGUUGAUGUCAUUGAGCCCAAGGGUACAAGAGGGCUAGGUCGUGUGGCUGCCACAAGUAUGUUUCUUACCAUUCACCAUCAGAUUCACCUAAUAAUGAUGUGCCUUGUGCCUCAAUGUGUGAUGAGAACUGGUUGUAUGCCGAUUCACAAUACAAGAAGUUCAGCAGCUUCAUCAACACUUUAAGUAUUUUUUUAUAUCCCUCCCUGUGUUUUGGACAGUUGAUGAAACAUUAAU